rnacentral:rRNA from 1 species
AACGCUAGCUACAGGCUUAACACAUGCAAGUCGAGGGGAAACGAUAUUGGAAGCUUGCUUCCGAUAGGCGUCGACCGGCGCACGGGUGAGUAACGCGUAUCCAACCUGCCCACCACUUGGGGAUAACCUUGCGAAAGUAAGACUAAUACCCAAUGACGUCUCUAGAAGACAUCUGAAAGGGAUUAAAGAUUUAUCGGUGAUGGAUGGGGAUGCGUCUGAUUAGCUUGUUGGCGGGGUAACGGCCCACCAAGGCGACGAUCAGUAGGGGUUCUGAGAGGAAGGUCCCCCACAUUGGAACUGAGACACGGUCCAAACUCCUACGGGAGGCAGCAGUGAGGAAUAUUGGUCAAUGGACGAGAGUCUGAACCAGCCAAGUAGCGUGCAGGAAGACGGCCCUAUGGGUUGUAAACUGCUUUUAUAAGGGAAUAAAGUGAGUCUCGUGAGACUUUUUGCAUGUACCUUAUGAAUAAGGACCGGCUAAUUCCGUGCCAGCAGCCGCGGUAAUACGGAAGGUCCGGGCGUUAUCCGGAUUUAUUGGGUUUAAAGGGAGCGUAGGCCGGAGAUUAAGCGUGUUGUGAAAUGUAGACGCUCAACGUCUGCACUGCAGCGCGAACUGGUUUCCUUGAGUACGCACAAAGUGGGCGGAAUUCGUGGUGUAGCGGUGAAAUGCUUAGAUAUCACGAAGAACUCCGAUUG